GACGAACGCUGGCGGCGUGCCUAAUACAUGCAAGUCGAACGAACCGCGACUAGGUGCUUGCACUUGGUCAAGGUGAGUGGCGAACGGGUGAGUAACACGUGGGUAACCUACCUCAUAGUGGGGGAUAACAGUCGGAAACGACUGCUAAUACCGCAUAGGACAUAGGAUCACAUGAUUCUGUGAGGAAAGGUGGCGCAAGCUAUCUCUAAGAGAUGGACCCGCGGUGCAUUAGCUAGUUGGUAGGGUAAAGGCCUACCAAGGCGAUGAUGCAUAGCCGACCUGAGAGGGUGAUCGGCCACAUUGGGACUGAGACACGGCCCAAACUCCUACGGGAGGCAGCAGUAGGGAAUCUUCCGCAAUGGACGCAAGUCUGACGGAGCAACGCCGCGUGAGUGAAGAAGGUCUUCGGAUCGUAAAGCUCUGUUGUUAGAGAAGAACAGCGCAUAGAGUAACUGUUAUGCGUGUGACGGUAUCUAACCAGAAAGCCACGGCUAACUACGUG
rnacentral:rRNA from 1 species